ACCAGACUCCUACGGGAGGCAGCAGUGGGGGAUAUUGCACAAUGGGGGGAAACCCUGAUGCAGCGACGCCGCGUGAGUGAAGAAGUAUUUCGGUAUGUAAAGCUCUAUCAGCAGGGAAGAAAAUGACGGUACCUGACUAAGAAGCCCCGGCUAACUACGUGCCAGCAGCCGCGGUAAUACGUAGGGGGCAAGCGUUAUCCGGAUUUACUGGGUGUAAGGGAGCGUAGACGGCAUGGCAAGUCAGAUGUGAAAGCCCGGGGCUCAACCCCGGGACUGCAUUUGAAACUGUCAGGCUGGAGUGCAGGAGAGGUAAGUGGAAUUCCUAGUGUAGCGGUGAAAUGCGUAGAUAUUAGGAGGAACACCAGUGGCGAAGGCGGCUUACUGGACUGUAACUGACGUUGAGGCUCGAAAGCGUGGGGAGCAAACAGGAUUAGAUACCCCAGUAUG
rnacentral:rRNA from 1 species